rnacentral:lncRNA from 1 species
CCAUUUCCCACCUCCGCACCCCUGCUCGCUGUCCACGAAGUCUCCACGUCGAUCGCCGCUGUUUACCAUCUCAGGAGCCCUCUGCUCCGUCCCAGUCGCUGGUGGGUAGCUCCGAGAAGCCUGCGUCCUCCUCUACAAUUCCCCUACUUUGCCUGCUGCUGUUCGCACCGCUCGCCGUUGUCGUGUCGUCGAGCCGCCGGCAUUCGCGACUCGCUGGAGCAUCGUUUGUCGCAGACUCUCUGCCCUUGUGCCGUCUUCAGCGCGGAACAUCGCUAGAGCACCUCGCCGGAGCUGUACUGCCAUGUGCCAUCGGAAGAAGCUGCUGGACGUCGUUCGAUUCCAUCACCGCACCGGUCCUGCUGCUUCAUCGUGUCGCUGCCCGUGUUCGUUGGUUCAGCUCGCCGAAGCUAUCGCCCUCGUCAUCAAACUAAGGUAGAAGAUAAUACAAAUUAUAAACUACCCUCUAGACUAUAGGCUAAUCUCGUAUAAAUCUCUGCGACGAUGUUUUUACUAUAAAAUAAUUAUUUACCAUUUAAAUAAUUUAUUCGAGCUGUUCACCUCAUAAGUUUAUGCAAAAUAUAUUAAAAUCAUUAUUUGCCAAUGUUCACGUGUUUUUCGUAACUUCAAUUUGGUUAGUGAUUGUUAUAAUUGACUUUACGUAGUUUUAUAAAUAAGAAAUGAGAGAAAGAUUACAUAUUUUUAACAAAAAAUUGGAGAUGUUUAUUCCUAACGAUAUUUGUAUAAAAAAAUGUAAAGGUAUCACCUACCCUUCUAGUCUACCUUUAUUUAUGUGUAGAUCCAUGUUACAACUUUUAUUAUAAAAUAUAAAUUUAGAACCCAAAUAAAAUAGAAAUGGUUUUGUUAGUUUUAUUAAUUUUGCAUAAGCAUUAUAAUUAGUGUUUCCAACAGUGCACACAUUUUCGUAGUUUAAUUUGAAAUUAUGGUGGUUAUACAAGAGAUAUUAAAAUAGCCCUUUUAAAGAGAUAUCAUGGUUUCCUAAUUUAACCAUGUUCAUUAUAGGUGUUUAAGUAUGGCUUUCUUAAAUAGAAAUUUAAAAUAAAAUGUAGACCAUAUAUUUCUUAAUAAAAAAAUAGAAGAUAAAUAUAUGUCCAAUUAAUAGAUUAGUUAUAUUUUCUUAAUGAAAAGAUAACAAGGGUCAUUGCCUUUAUAAACUAAAAUAAUAGUUUAUACAGAGUUUCCUUUCUAACGAAUUAGAUCAUUUGUUCCUAUAAUAGAAUUAAAGAUAAUUAAUAGAUUAAUUAUCCUUUAUCAUAAUUUAUUAAUCAAAUCUAUAGUCAAUUUGUUCUUAACUAGAUUUAUGGCAUGAUUAAUGAUUUCAUAGAAUUUAGUCCACAUUAUAUAUGAAUCACUUAGCUUUUUCUAAGGGAUAAAAUAAAGUAAUAAGAGUUUAAGUUCUUUUAUAACUUAAAAUGUUACCUUAUAUAUGGACUUCGAAUAUACUAAUAUAGGCUAUGUGUUUUCGAAGGAAAUUAAAAGAUAGUUAUUUGUUUAUUAUCUUUUGCAUUAAAAUCCACUUAAGACCCAUAACCUAACUCGUCUUAAAUAGGUGAUUAAUAAUAUAAUUAUGAUCUUUUCACAUAAAACUUAUUUAGACUUAUAUCUUAAUUUGUCAUAAGUGAAUGAUUAACAAUGUGCUCCAUAAUGCUUCUAUAAUUAAUAACGUGAUUAGUAGCCCAUUAACAUUAGAUAUAACAUAUAUCUUUUCUAAAAGAUUAGAAAUGUUUAAUAUGGUUAUAACGUGUUCUAUCAUCUUAUAAACCCUUAAUCUUAGAUGUAUCACAUAUGACGUUUUAUAAAAGAUUAAAUUGAUGAACCUAAUAUUUGUAUAUUUUAAUUAAGAUAUUUUAAGCUCAUGUCUUAUUUUAUAAAGUAUAGAUCACAUGUUUGAAAAGAAUACCCUCUUAUUAUAACCAUGACUUGCGACAUAUUUGAAAAGCGAACGCUCUUUUCGUUAGGCUUUCUUUUAGCUUUACAUAUGGUGAAUGUGGUAUGUUAUUGAGUGGUGUUUGUUCUUCUUGUUUGUUUGUGUGAUAUUCAGUGGUUGAUCUAGUAGUU